AGGUGGUUUUGCGACGGUGUAUGGUGGUUGUAGGGGAAGGUGAGGCCCGUAGAAUCGAUGGAAUGUUGAAUUGGGAGAAACUUAUAGUCUGCAUCAUGACUAAUACAAAGUUUAAUUAAAGAGUGACCAAUAUUGUUUACAAGGAAAUCUUAUUUAUAUAGAUGGAUAUAUAAUUUGUGCCUAAUUCAUAAAUGACGCAGAGAAAAAAAUGUAUAGCUACUCUAUAGUUUCCAUGAUUGUUUUGCAAUUUAAUUUGGGCAGGGAGCUUUAAA
rnacentral:lncRNA from 1 species